AACAGGAUUAGAUACCCUGGUAGUGCACGCCGUAAACGAUGUCUACUAGCUGUUCGUGGUCUUGUACUGUGAGUAGCGCAGCUAACGCACUAAGUAGACCGCCUGGGGAGUACGGUCGCAAGAUUAAAACUCAAAUGAAUUGACGGGGGCCCGCACAAGCGGUGGAGCAUGUGGUUUAAUUCGACGCAACGCGAAGAACCUUACCUACUCUUGACAUCUACGGAAGACUGCAGAGAUGCGGUUGUGCCUUCGGGAACCGUAAGACAGGUGCUGCAUGGCUGUCGUCAGCUCGUGUUGUGAAAUGUUGGGUUAAGUCCCGCAACGAGCGCAACCCCUAUCCUUAGUUGCCAGCACGUAAUGGUGGGAACUCUAGGGAGACUGCCGGUGAUAAACCGGAGGAAGGUGGGGACGACGUCAAGUCAUCAUGGCCCUUACGAGUAGGGCUACACACGUGCUACAAUGGUACGUACAGAGGGAGGCAAGCUGGCGACAGUGAGCGGAUCUCUUAAAGCGUAUCGUAGUCCGGAUCGCAGUCUGCAACUCGACUGCGUGAAGUCGGAAUCGCUAGUAAUCGCAAAUCAGAAUGUUGCGGUGAAUACGUUCCCGGGCCUUGUACACACCGCCCGUCACACCAUGGGAGUGGGUUGCAAAAGAAGUAGGUAGCUUAACCUUCGGGAGGGCGCUUACCACUUUGUGAUUCAUGACUGGGGUGAAGUCGUAACAAGGUAACC
rnacentral:rRNA from 1 species